CCUACGGGAGGCAGCAGUGGGGAAUUUUGGACAAUGGGCGCAAGCCUGAUCCAGCAAUGCCGCGUGAGUGAAGAAGGCCUUCGGGUUGUAAAGCUCUUUUGUCAGGGAAGAAACGGUGGAGGUUAAUACCUUCUGCUAAUGACGGUACCUGAAGAAUAAGCACCGGCUAACUACGUGCCAGCAGCCGCGGUAAUACGUAGGGUGCAAGCGUUAAUCGGAAUUACUGGGCGUAAAGCGUGCGCAGGCGGUUGUGCAAGACAGAUGUGAAAUCCCCGGGCUCAACCUGGGAAUUGCAUUUGUGACUGUACGGCUAGAGUGUGUCAGAGGGGGGUAGAAUUCCACGUGUAGCAGUGAAAUGCGUAGAGAUGUGGAGGAAUACCGAUGGCGAAGGCAGCCCCCUGGGAUAACACUGACGCUCAUGCACGAAAGCGUGGGGAGCAAACAGGAUUAGAUACCCUGGUAGUCCACGCCCUAAACGAUGUCUACUAGUUGUCGGGUCUUUAUUGACUUGGUAACGCAGCUAACGCGUGAAGUAGACCGCCUGGGGAGUACGGUCGCAAGAUUAAAACUCAAAGGAAUUGACGGCUGAGAGAGCGACGACGACGACGAGGGAGGAGG
rnacentral:rRNA from 1 species